AAUAGCUUUAGGGAUAGCGUAGUCAUUAAGAUUCUUGGAGGUAGAGCACUGUUUGGGUGAGGGGUCCAUCCCGGAUUACCAAUCUCAGAUAAACUCCGAAUGCCAAUGAAUUAUGGUCGGCAGUCAGACUGCGAGUGCUAAGAUCCGUAGUCGAAAGGGAAACAGCCCAGACCACCAGCUAAGGUCCCAAAAUAUAUGUUAAGUGGAAAAGGAUGUGGGGUUGCACAGACAACUAGGAUGUUAGCUUAGAAGCAGCUAUUCAUUCAAAGAGUGCGUAAUAGCUCACUAGUCGAGUGACCCUGCGCCGAAAAUGUACCGGGGCUAAAACAUAUUACCGAAGCUGUGGAUACCUAUUAUAGGUAUGGUAGGAGAGCGUUCUAUGUGUGAAGAAGGUGUACCGUGAGGAGCGCUGGAACGCAUAGAAGUGAGAAUGCCGGUAUGAGUAGCGAAAGACAGGUGAGAAUCCUGUCCACCGUAAGACUAAGGUUUCCAGGGGAAGGCUCGUCCGCCCUGGGUUAGUCGGGACCUAAGGAGAGACCGAAAGGUGUAUCCGAUGGCCAACAGGUUGAUAUUCCUGUACUAGAGUAUAUAGUGAAGGAGGGACGCAGUAGGCUAACUAAAGCGUGCGAUUGGAAGAGCACGUCUAAGCAGUGAGGUGUGAUAUGAGUCAAAUGCUUGUAUCUCUAACAUUGAGCUGUGAUGGGGAGCGAAGUUAAGUAGCGAAGUUAGUGAUGUCACACUGCCAAGAAAAGCUUCUAGCGUUAAUUAUACUCUACCCGUACCGCAAACCGACACAGGUAGUCGAGGCGAGUAGCCUCAGGUGAGCGAGAGAACUCUCGUUAAGGAACUCGGCAAAAUGGCCCCGUAACUUCGGGAGAAGGGGCGCUGGCUUUAAGUCAGCCGCAGUGAAUAGGCCCAAGCAACUGUUUAUCAAAAACACAGCUCUCUGCUAAAUCGUAAGAUGAUGUAUAGGGGGUGACGCCUGCCCGGUGCUGGAAGGUUAAGAGGAGCGCUUAGCGUAAGCGAAGGUGUGAAUUGAAGCCCCAGUAAACGGCGGCCGUAACUAUAACGGUCCUAAGGUAGCGAAAUUCCUUGUCGGGUAAGUUCC
rnacentral:rRNA from 1 species